rnacentral:lncRNA from 1 species
UGGAAUUUUCGAACUGUCAUCUUUUAUAUCAUAUCUGAUGAGGAAAAUGCUAUGAAUGAAAAAUCUCUUUGAGCUUACUCCUUUAUUCCACAAAACCAACUCCGAGAUAAAUGAGCAAGGUUUUGAUGGUUAAUCUAAGGACUGAUAUUAAUCCUUCGGUUUUUGUUAUCAUUGUCCUGCAGGAGCAUGUAUAUAUUCCUGUCAAAUCUUC